rnacentral:rRNA from 1 species
UACGAAGGGGGCGAGCGUUGUUCGGAUUUACUGGGCGUAAAGGGCGCGUAGGCGGCCCUCCUUGUCGCGUGUGAAAUCCCUGGGCUCAACCCAGGAACUGCGUCCGAUACUGGUUGGCUUGAAUCCGGGAGAGGGACGUGGAAUUCCAGGUGUAGCGGUGAAAUGCGUAGAUAUCUGGAGGAACACCGGUGGCGAAGGCGACGUCCUGGACCGGCAUUGACGCUGAGGCGCGAAAGCCAGGGGAGCAAACGGG